AGAGGUCUGGGAGAUGUUUGCCUUUGAGAAAUGCAGGAAGCAGCCAGCAAGCAAGGUGCUGAAGCCCAAAAAUGAAAUCGGCUUCAAGGUCAUCAAAGGCUCUUAGGAAGGAUAAGGAGACAUCUGGAUGGGACAGUUCAGGUGUAGAAGCCACCCUCCAAAGCCGAGAAGAGAUCCCUGCCUGUCUUAUUUCGGCAGUUUGUUUCACACCUCUCCAUGCAGUGAGGUUCAGCAUGGUGGAUGCGAUGAGGAAAAUAGCCUUGUCGAAGGCACCUGUGUCACUGGACAUGUACAGGAGUUUGUAUAUGACAGACUACAGAUGGCACAAGGAGUACCAGCCGCCCACCGAGGAGUACUUGCAGAAGCUAAAGUCUGCAGAUUCCCAGCUAAAAGCCAAGGAGUUUGCAGUACCUCAAGAGCAGCGGUUGAUGAACUACUGGGACAAUGUGGUCGGAGAGGGAAGAGAGGUCAUCCCAGGACCGUGCAGUAAAGUGAACAGGCUUUCUGAUGACAUGCCAGAGAAGAAGCAGAAAGAAAGCUAUCUACCAAAAUCCUACCCUGCAACUGAAGCAACAGCAACCCAGGAGGAGAAGCUGGAGAGGCCACAGGCUCUUACUAAGCUAGAAAAUGAGCUUUCCUGUUCCCAUUGUCUUCCAGCUGCUGUUCAGACUCCUGGAACAGAAGGGAUGUUGCUGCACAAGCAGGAGCUGGAUCGGGGCUGGGCUGCCUACCAGCAAUUCAUCUUGGAGACAUGUCGGGCAAGGCAAUUUAAAGCUCAAGAAAACAAGAGCAUGGUCUUGGGCUCAUCUGUUUUGGGGGAAGAAUGUUUUGACCUUGACUGCAGAACUACCUACAACACAGAUUUCCAGCCCUUGCCUGGAGCCCAUGGUGGACACUGUAAAGCAAAUAGGACUCUCUCUCACAUUUUUGCUGAAGAUGAGUGCUUUAACCAGAACUACUGGGUAUCAGAGUACGAGGACAGCUACAGUGUUUUCUUACGGAGGCUGAACCGGUCAUCUCAAAUCCCCACUGCAGGGCUGUGUUCAGCCGUAAAGCCCAUCUCACAUCUACCCCACAGGCUGUCCUCUCAGAAAGCGAUUGCUGUGGACACAGCCCAGUGAGAGGUGCUACAGCUGUCCAUGGAUGUGUUACCUACACUAUUCUGUGAUUACAGCUCUGUGGCUCUCCAAGUUGUCUGUGUGAUAUUGUCUGUGGGAGACCCUGGAAGCCUGGAAGCACUUUAUCUUCCCAACCUACCAUUGUGGCUAUAGAGUAUUUGUGAAGUGCUUAGCAGAGACCCCUUUACACACAUAUUUUCAUUAAAUCCCCCAAGAACUCUGGCUCUUAUCAGUGUCAGGAAAACACUCUUGUGCAGGGCAAUCCUUGGAGCUAAAAUCACUCAGGCAGUUUCAAUUCAUGUACUCUAAAUAAAACUUGCCAAUAAACUUCA
rnacentral:lncRNA from 1 species